rnacentral:rRNA from 1 species
AGCUCCAAUAGCGUAUAUUAAAGUUGUUGCAGUUAAAAAGCUCGUAGUUGGACCUUGGGCGUGGGCGCCGGGUUGGCCGCAAGGCACGACUCGGAACUCUUGCCUCUUUGGGGGACUUGCUGUUCUGCAGCGAGGCAACCCGGGUUACUGUGAAGAAAUUAGAGUGUUUAAAGCAGGCGUUUGCUUGGAUACAUCAGCAUGGAAUAACAAGAUAGGACUUUGCUCCACUUGUUGGUUUGGGAACGAUAGUAAUGAUUAAUAGGGCCAGUUGGGGGCAUUAGUAUUCAGUAGUCAGAGGUGAAAUUCUUGGAUUUACUGAAGACUAACUAGUGCGAAAGCAUUUGCCAAGGAUGUUUUCA